AUACGGAGGAUGCGAGCGUUAUCCGGAUUUAUUGGGUUUAAAGGGAGCGUAGGUGGGAUAUUAAGUCAGCUGUGAAAGUUUGGGGCUCAACCUUAAAAUUGCAGUUGAUACUGGUUUCCUUGAGUACGGUACAGGUGGGCGGAAUUCGUGGUGUAGCGGUGAAAUGCUUAGAUAUCACGAAGAACUCCGAUCGCGAAGGCAGCUCACCGGGCCGGAACUGACACUGAUGCUCGAAAGUGCGGGUAUCAAACAGGAUUAGAUACCCUGGUAGUCCGCACAGUAAACGAUGAAUACUCGCUGUUUGCGAUACACUGUAAGCGGCCAAGCGAAAGCGUUAAGUAUUCCACCUGAGGAGUACGCCGGCAACGGUGAAACUCAAAUGAAUUGGCGGGG
rnacentral:rRNA from 1 species